rnacentral:rRNA from 1 species
UCGAAUCUUUGAACGCACAUUGCGCCCGCCAGUAUUCUGGCGGGCAUGCCUGUUCGAGCGUCAUUUCAACCAUCAAGCCCCAGGCUUGUGUUGGGGACCUGCGGCUGCCCGCAGGCCCUGAAAACCAGUGGCGGGCUCGCUGUCACCCCGAGCGUAGUAGCAAUCACCUCGCUCAGGGCGUGCCGCGGGCACCGGCCGUUAAAGCUGCCUUCGCGCAACACCCAAGGUUGACCUCGGAUCAGGUAGGAAGACCCGCUGAACUUAAGCAUAUCAAUAAGCGGAGGAAAAGAAACCAACAGGGAUUGCCCUAGUAACGGCGAGUGAAGCGGCAACAGCUCAAAUUUGAAAUCUGGCCUCGGCCCGAGUUGUAAUUUGCAGAGGAAGCUUUAGGCGCGGCACCUUCUGAGUCCCCUGGAACGGGGCGCCAUAGAGGGUGAGAGCCCCGUAUAGUUGGAUGCCUAGCCUGUGUAAAGCUCCUUCGACGAGUCGAGUAGUUUGGGAAUGCUGCUCAAAAUGGGAGGUAAAUUUCUUCUAAAGCUAAAUACCGGCCAGAGACCGAUAGCGCACAAGUAGAGUGAUCGAAAGAUGAAAAGCACUUUGAAAAGAGGGUUAAAUAGCACGUGAAAUUGUUGAAAGGGAAGCGCUUGUGACCAGACUUGCGCCGGGCUGAUCAUCCGGUGUUCUCACCGGUGCACUCUGCCCGGCUCAGGCCAGCAUCGGUUCUCGCGGGGGGAUAAAGGCCCAGGGAACGUAGCUCCUCCGGGAGUGUUAUAGCCCUGGGUGCAAUGCCCUCGCGGGGACCGAGGUUCGCGCAUCUGCAAGGAUGCUGGCGUAAUGGUCACCAGCGACCCGUCUUGAAACACGGACCAAGGAGUCAAGGUUUUGCGCGAGUGUUUGGGUGUAAAACCCGCACGCGUAAUGAAAGUGAACGUAGGUGAGAGCUUCGGCGCAUCAUCGACCGAUCCUGAUGUUUUCGGAUGGAUUUGAGUAGGAGCGUUAAGCCUUGGACCCGAAAGAUGGUGAACUAUGCUUGGAUAGGGUGAAGCCAGAGGAAACUCUGGUGGAGGCUCGCAGCGGUUCUGACGUGCAAAUCGAUCGUCAAAUCUGAGCAUGGGGGCGAAAGACUAAUCGAACCAUCUAGUAGCUGGUUACCGCCGAAGUUUCCCUCAGGAUAGCAGUGUUGUCUUCAGUUUUAUGAGGUAAAGCGAAUGAUUAGGGACUCGGGGGCGCUUUUUAGCCUUCAUCCAUUCUCAAACUUUAAAUAUGUAAGAAGCCCUUGUUACUUAAUUGAACGUGGGCAUUCGAAUGUACCAACACUAGUGGGCCAUUUUUGGUAAGCAGAACUGGCGAUGCGGGAUGAACCGAACGCGGGGUUAAGGUGCCGGAGUGGACGCUCAUCAGACACCACAAAAGGCGUUAGUACAUCUUGACAGCAGGACGGUGGCCAUGGAAGUCGGAAUCCGCUAAGGACUGUGUAACAACUCACCUGCCGAAUGUACUAGCCCUGAAAAUGGAUGGCGCUCAAGCGUCCCACCCAUACCCCGCCCUCAGGGUAGAAACGAUGCCCUGAGGAGUAGGCGGCCGUGGAGGUCAGUGACGAAGCCUAGGG